UGAUGAAAGGCAAUUCAAUGCAGAGUUGUUAACCAGAGCCCCAAGACCUUAAUUUAACCUUGCAAAACACGCACUAAAUCCCCAUCGGAUCUGCUUUCGGUUUCUAUCUCACUGGUUUCCUGGUUCCACUUUCUUUUGAAAGCUUUGCUCUUUGUCCUCCCACAGCACAGCCAGGGCAUCAGUGGAGAGGGAAAGCCAUGCAAAUCAUGACACAGACAAAGAAGUGGCAGCCCGAGAGGUAAGUGCGAUAGGAUUUCAUUUGAAUUAUUGAUUUAGAUCUUCUGUAUUUAUCAAGCAAGGUGCUAUUGUUUUGUCUCCUGCUGGCAAACAUAACACACUGUAGUUGGAAUUCUUAGUAAAACGUGAACUGUUUACUAAAGAAAACAUACGGCAGACUGUUUCUGAUGGUCACAGCAACCAGAUUCACUUUGCUUUCCUUCUGUUAAAUGGUUGUCCUAAUGCAGUGCUGUUGUUAAUAUUAACUUUACCUUCCUUACUGCGAUGUGCUCUUGAAGCCAACCCACAUAGUUACCAGAGCCAGGACACACUUACAAGGCUCUGAACAUGAGCUGUUAAAUUAAAUUACUGAGUCCAAGCCAACUAGCCGCCCAGAGCACUUUAAAUGACCAGUUUUUAAAUUAAGGGAGCAAAGAAAUUACAGAUGAAAAAGGUCUACCAAGGUAAUUGAGUCCACUCCUCUCUCGUGGCCCGCUAGCACAAGAUUGUUCCUCAUAAUAUAUUUUCUAGUGCUUCAUCUAGCAUUUACAGAUAAGAGUGCACGUCAGAAAUGUGAUCGGUUUUAUUUCUACUGCAAAGAAGAUUCUGCAGAGCACUGAAGAUUUAUUAGUGUUCUUCCUUCUACACACUGAGAAAAGCCUUAUGUUUCAGUCAAAUGGCAUUUCAAACUGACAUUUGCCAGAUUAAGGCAAAAUAACGAACUAACUGAAAGACAAGGUAAUAUCUUUUAUUGGAUCAACUUCUCUUGGUGAAAAAGACAAGCUUUUGAGCUACAGACAGUUCUUCCUCAGGUCUUGGAAAGGUAUUCAGGGUAUGUUUACACUCAGAGACCUGCCCUUUGGGGGGGCGGGGCAGAGUGAGGGCACCAGCUUCAGCAGAUGUUACUGAGCAUGUUCAGUCUGUGAGCAUGCUCAGUACAAGCCAAGCAGCAAAUCGGGCGGUGGGGGCAGCACAUGACCCCACAGGCCACCCCACCAGCUGCGCCGCCAUAGUGCUUCAGUGUAGACACUACCUACACUGACGGGAAGGGUUCUCCCAUUGGCGUAGUUAAUCCACCUUCCUGAGAGGCAGUAGCUAGGUUGACAGAAGCGCUGUCUACACCAGGGCUUCAGUAUAGCUACAUCUCUCAGAGGUGGGAAUGUUGCCCAUGGAAUCCCUGAGGCUACCAACAAAGGGUCAGCUCAUGCCAAUUUUGACUCCACCGAUAGUUUUAUAAUAUGGGCACCUGUUCCCACUAGGGACUAGAUUCUGAGUCAUUCCACAAGCCACAUCAGUCUCCUGUUGAGUCACCUUUAACAAGAUACCCCUGAAGGGUUCAACAGAGAAGAUGCAGAGAGUAUUUUCCUCCGGGAUAUCUUCAGGAGCAUCCAGUAUUUCUGAAGAAAAUCUUGAUGACAACCUUGAAAUAUCAAAGCAUCUGAAGAGGACACUGGUGGACAAGAUUGUCACUGACUUGAAUGCUGAAGAUUUGAUGAUGGUCAAGCAGGCCUUGAUAUAUCUUGAGAGGAAUAAAGAAAGUAUCGGUGACUUCCUGAAGCAGUUUCCCGAGCAAAGAAACAAGGUGGAAAGCUGCAUACGAUGCCUUGAGGAAAUGAUAGACACCCAUGGAUGAAGUCCAUAAAAAAUGUGCCACAAUAUGUACUGCAGCAAACACCAUGGGUUUUAUUUCAAGCAUUUUUAAUCUAGUAAAACAUGGGGGCCGUCUCGGUCUUGGUUUGGAGAUAUUAGGUGAUGUUGCAAAUAUUUCCAGACUUGUAUACAAAAAUCAUAACAACUUCAAGAUAGAGGAUAAAGUUAAGAAGUUGCUACAGCAAUAUGAAAACAGCCUGAAUUAUCUGAAAAUUUCCAAUGAAGAGGAUUGUGAAUUAGAAGCUUUUCAGAAGACUGAGGCCUCAUGCAACUACUUGAAUGAUUUCUUGUCUGCUGCUGGUUCAGCUCAGGGAUUAUAUAGAAACAUUACAAAGUUAAACAAAUCAACUCAACAAAAAGCUAACCCUAGUUCAAGGUCAGAAGAAAGCAGUAUCCCUAGCAGAACUAGACAGUCUAAGGCAAUGGGAAGCGGUUCAGCUGAAACACCACCUGCUGCGUCCAAGGGAAACUGGCUGGAUGCUGUAAUAGCAACACCAGCCAUCAUAAACAAAGCCUGUGUGAUUAAGACAGACGUCACACAUUUAGCUGAGGGAGGUAAGGGAGAGACUGGAGCUGAAAUAAGAAAAAUAGCUGAGAAGUUGAAAAUGAAACUUGAGGCGAUCAGUUUGCUGUAUACAGCGUAUUUGGAAUUGACAGAUAUGGCAAAUUAGCAAACUUUUAUGUCUAAAUAUACCGUUCACGGCACACACAUGGAGAAUUAGAUAAAAAUCAAAUACUCUUGCUAGAAGGUUGCAACAUAACACGACUUUCCUUAGGGAAUGUUUACACUGAAAAGUUACAUGAGCAUAGCUACAUCCCUCAGGGGUUGGAAAAAUCCACACCCCCAAGAGACAGAGUUAAGCCAACAUAACCCCCAGUGGAGCCGGUGCUAGGUCGAUGGAGAAUACUUCCAUCGACCCAGCCACUGCCUCUUGGGGAGGUGGAUUAACUGCAGCAACGGGAGAACCCCUCCUAUGACUCUCGUGCAUGUCUACAGUGAAUCUGUGCAACUGUGCUGCAGUAGCAGUUUAAGUGUAGGCUUAUCCUUAGAAUCAUGGCAUUUAAGGCCAGAAGGCACCCUAGAUCAUCUAGUCUGACCUCCUGUAUAGCUAGGGCCCUUCGUUUUCAGUGUUUAUUCUCCCAGGAAUUUAACAGUGUUUAUUACCAUAACAACAAAAACUGGUGAAAAUCAGUGCAAAAAACUAUUCAUCGUUUUACUGGGUAAAUAUCGGGGUUUAUUUUGGUGGAUGGAAAGAUGGUGGGGGGGAAGUAUUCAGUAGAUUAAUGCUUUGAAUUCCAUUAAUCAAUGUGCAUUUGCUGCAGAACUAAAACAGAACUCAAAACAUAACGCCACCUCUGAGUUUAAGAAAACGAUAUCUCUCUAAUCCCCAAAUAAAACUUUUCAUUUGAAUAAACAAUGGACUGCCAUAGACUUAGAACUAUUAGCCUACAAAUAUUUACAUUUAAUAAUUGGGCUACGCCAUUUGCAGCGCAUACACUCAACUUCAUCCUUUUCUCCCGUUUUUGUUUUUUUUAAAACUUUCGAAUACUUCCUUGUGUUCUGAAACGUAGUCUGAUACAGAUUUUUGUUUUCUUCCCAUUUUAGUAUAUCAAAUCUUUAAACUGUUAUCUGCUAACAGCUUGAAACAUGUACAUGGUCGACGUGAAAUUCAUCAGUACGUUCAGACGCGCAUGCACUUCAGAGCUUGUGUGCAUGCCUGUUUGUUGUGUGUAUCUUCUAGACCAGGGGUCUCCAAACUACGGCCUGCGGGCCGGAUAUGGCCAGCGGCUUCGAUUUGUCCAGCCCCUCAACCAACAUCGCAUCGGGCGGCAGGACCCCGGCUGGCAGGAGCCAGUGGUGGGAAUCCCAGAGCAGCAGUGGGCUGAGCAGCUCAGCCCGCCACCGCUGUGAGGUUCCUGCCGUGGGCUCCUGCCAUACGGGGUCUCAGCCCACUGCCAGCCUGGGUUCCUUCACCCAGGCCAGCAGCGGGUGCUGGGUGCGGCCAGUGGCAGGACCCCGGCCGGCAAGGGGCCAGCAGCAGAAACCCCAGAGCCGCAACAGAACUUCAUGACGUCACUGCAUUCCUGCCAGGGUCGCAGAGCCGAUGAGCACGCAGUCGGUAGGUUAGUAGCGGCAGAAGGAACUGGAUGUGUGAUGAGUUAUUGUUUCCCUCAGUUUUUGUCUUAGCGCGUGUCAGACUAGUGAGAAAUUUCUAUUCGUUGUGUUUAAGUCUGUUGCUACUGGGGCCAUUAUGUCGGGAAAAGGACAGAAGAGAAAGGUUGAUUCUGAAUGUCGCGUGUUUAAAGAACAAUGGAGUGUGGACUAUUUCAUUAUUGAAUCAGGUAGUAAAGCAUUGUGUUUAAUGUGUAACGAAACUAUCGCAGUGCUAAAAGAAUGCAACAUUUGUAGACAUUAUGAAACCAAGCACUUGUCGAACUACUCUCAAUUUACGGGAAAGCUACGUUCAGAUAAAUUAGAAUCCAUGAAACGUGGCUUAUCGUCACAACAGUUUAUAUUUAAGAAGAAGAAAACCGAGAACAAAGCUGCAACAAGAGCACCUUUCGAGUGGCACACCUAUUAACAAAACGAGGAAAACCAUUUACUGAUGGCGAGCUAGUUAAAAUAUGUAUGAUUCAAGCAGCCGAAGAAAUAUGCCCAGAAAAAAGUAGAUUUAUUUAAGACAGUUAGUCUUUUGGCGAACACAGUUGUUUGCAGAAUCGAGGGCAUUGGCAGUAAUAUAAUUUUCCAGAUGAAUGAAAAGGCUAAGAAGUUUGAGUGGUUUUCCCUCGCACUUGACGAGUCAACUGAUGUUUCUGAUACUUUGCAGCUGCUGUUGUUUAUUCACCGGGUCGGCAGUAAUUUUGAAGUUAUGGAAGAACUAGCCUCUGUGCAUAGUAUGCAUGGAACAACCACAGGUGAAAAGAUUUUCAAAGAAGUUGAAAAGUCACUUUCUCAAUACAACCUGCAAUGGAAACAACUGAUAUACAUUACAAUUGAUGGAGGUAGAAAUAUGUGCGGUUCCAAAAAAGGCUUGAUUGGACAAAUCUACAAAGCUUGUGAAAGUGCGGGCCUAUGAAACCCAAGCCAUUGCAUUCUUCAUCAGCAAGCAUUGUGCGGGAAAUAUUUGGAUUUGUCAUGUGUUAUGGAACCCGUAGUUUCAACCAUGAAUUUCAUUCGCUCGCAUGGACUUAACCAUCGUCAGUUCCAAGCAUUUGUGGUGGAAAUAGAAUCAGAAUAUCACGAGUUGCCCUACCACACUUCAGUUCAAUGGCUUAGCUGUGGAAAGGUUUUGUCAUGAUUUUUUUUAGCUUAGAACUGAAAUUGAAAUGUUCUUAAAUUUAAAAAAACAACCUCUACCUUUACUCACAAACAGUGAAUGGGUUUGGAAAUUAGCUUUUUUUCGUAGACUUAACCAAGCACAUGAAUGAUUUCAAUCUUAGACUACAAGGGAAAAAUGGGCUUAUCUGUGACAUGUACACCCAGGUGAAAGCAUUCAGGCAAAAACUAGUUCUUUUCAAGUCCCAGCUGAUGAGGGACUGCUUUGCUCAUUUUACAUGUUGUGAAAAGUUCAACCAAGUUCAACUGAAUCACAAUUCCCAACUAUGUUUGCACAAGAAAUCAUUUCUGAUAUGAAACUACAGUUCCAGGAGUGUUUCUCCGACCUUGAUAUGAAUGCAGGAGAAAUAUGGAUCUUCCAAAACCCAUUUCAUUGCGAUCUCCAAAAAGUGCCAUCUGAACUUCAAAUGGAAGUGAUUGACCUGCAAUCCAAUGAUUUGUUGAAGGACAAAUAUAAGGAAGGAAAUCUGGUAGAGUUCUAUAAAUGCCUGCCAAGUGAUCAAUAUGCUCAUGUAAAAAACCUUGUCUGUGGAUUAAUGUCAGUGUUUGGCACUACUUAUGUAUGUGAAAAAACAUUUUAGAUGAUGAAAUAUGUGAAAUCCAACUACAGAUCGACCUUGUCUGAUGAACAUGUACAAUCAAUUCUGAUGAUAGGGAACACUAACUUUGAACCACUGCUAAAUGCAGUUUUGUCAGAAAAACAUCAGUACCAUACUUCUCACUAAUCCUAAAAUAAUAUUUCUUUUUUUUAACGAUUAAUUUUUUCACAGUCGCUUCGUCCCGCGAAGCCCCUUCAAAAAUCUAAUAUGGCCCUUGUCUCAAAGUUUGGAGACCCCUGUUCUAGACUAAUACAUAGCCUUACUUCAACAAGCAGCUUUGCAUAUACACACAGACUAAUGUACUAUCGUAAUACAUAUAUCUCAUGCAACGUAUUGUAUUUUCCUAAUAAAAAGUUAUUUUGUAUAUAUUUGAAUGAUAGAAAAGUAGGGUGAAAAUCUGAAAAAAAAAUGAAUAAUACUUUUUGUAAAACCCAGGAAUUUUUUGGUAAAAAUCAGAUUAAACUGAAAACAAAGGGGCUUCUGUAUAGCACAGGCCACCAGCAUCAGCCAGCACCUGCACUCUAAACCCAACAACUGAAAUGACACCAGAGUAUUGCAGCCCACAGGAGACUAGACUAUUAUGUGCCACAGGCAGUGAACAAGAGGGACUGAGGUGCCCUGGUGCUGGAGGCCCCAGCAACGGCAGGGAAAUGAUUAAAUGAGAUAUACCCAGAGAAUCCUGCAAGUAACCCAUAUCCACACAAUAACAAAAGCCACAAAACAGAGAGAGACAAAGCAGGCUGCUCCCUAAAAACAGAGAGGCACAACUCACCCACCAUACUCUAGAGUCUAGACAGGCUGUCUGCAGACUGACUGAUCACAUGCUUUCCUACAGAGUCCUGUCAAAGUCAGAUACAAGACUCACUGAAUUUGUCAGACCACUCUGUUUAUUAGCAAAGCGCUUUGCCAAUGCACCCAGAUAUAUGCAAGCCUUCUGCAAAAGCUCAAGCUAACUUAUUUAUACAGAUAAGCCAAAGCCAAUUUAACAUAGGAGAUAAAAGGAAGCAGAAACUGACAAAUAUACAUACAUAUCUUAUUUGCAUACUAACAUUUACCAAUCUCCUAGCUCAGUAGGAGCUCUAAGUUAAUUAGUUUGAGGACCCAUUGUCUCACACUCCUUAAUGUUUCUCUUCCUGACAACUAUAUUUCAACAAACUCUUCAAGCAACAUUUCUUUAAUGAAUUAUAAUUUCAAUAUAAUUCAUUCUACUUUCACAGUACCCUAGCUUGCAAGCAGGACCAGGAAUAAAAACCUGAAAUUUAAAGUCACUGCCUACAAUUUUAACAGAGUUUCAAUACACCACAAAUGAAGAAUCAUACACUGAAAUAUCCCCUUCUGUUUAUUCUUGCAGUAGAACUGCUGGCUGAGGUGAGCAAUGGUUUUAUAUGAUCAAAGGCAUCUCCAUUUUCAACCAAGAUGGCAUUUUAUGUAGAUCAUUAUAUGUAUUACGGUAGCAGUUAGAUAUCUCCAAAUGCACAUGGAAUAUCUGAAGUGCUCCAAGGCGGGAGAGGCACCUGACCUUCCUAAAUAUAAACCAUGGUAUAGAUCAGUGGCUUUCAGCCUUUCCAGACUACUGUACCCCUUUCAGGAGUCUGAUUUGUCUGGUGUACCCCCAAGUUUCACCUCACUUAAAAACUGCUUGCUUACAAAAUCAGACAUAAAAAUACAAAAGUGUCACAGCAUGUUGUUAAUGAAAAAUUGAUCGCUUUCUCAUUUUUACCAUAUAAUUAUAAAAUAAAUCAAUUGGAAUAUUAAUGUUGUACUUACAUUUCAGUGUAUAGUAGAUAGAGCAGUAUAAACAAGUCAUUGUCUGUAUGAAAUUUUAGUUUGUACUGACUUUGCUAGAGCGUUUUAUGUAGCCUGUUGUAAAACUAGGCAACUAUCUAGAUGAGUUAAUGUACCCCCAGAAGAUCUUUGCAUACCCCCAGAAGUACAAGUACUCCUGGUUGAGAACUACUGGUAUAGAACAAUGCUUUCCCAUUAAGAUUUGUGGACGAUUACCUGGGAGGUAUGGAAUGCUUUACAUCAUAUUCAACGUGCUCUUUAUAAAAUUGAGCCUCUACGCAGAUUGGGGAGAUAGCUUUUGUCCAUCAAUCAGCGAAGCCAUUGUAAACAGUUCCCCCCAACCGCCAACAUGGAUUUGUUUGUGAAACUCCAUCCCUUUCCCCUCUAUGCCCCAGUCACAAAAAUAAAAAUAUCUCAACCUAGCCUAGUUCCAUGCAGUUGGUCAAGGUUUAUCUGAUGACUGGCUGGCAUUUUCUAUGCUGAUGUGCUAGGGUCCCUUAAGAUCUGCUUUUUAUAUUGAUGUCAUCUUCAUUCCAAUUUUUUUUGCUUACUUCCAACUAAGGCAUGGCUUGAAAAAACACAUGUGUGGAACUAAUGUUAUUCUCUUUCCCCACUUGAAUCAAUUAUUCAAUCUACUGGCCUUUGCAAAGGUCUAACUUCAAGUCUACAAAACGUUGAAUGAAUCCAAACCACUUGUUGUUUCCAGUGUUGUUGUAGCCAUGUUGGUCCCCGGAUAUUAGAGAGACUAGGUGGGUGAGGUAAUAGCUUUUACUGUGAAGCAGCAGUUGGUCCAAUAAAAGCUAUUACCUCGCCCACCUUGUCUCUCUAAAACAUUUAUCAGUAAUAGAGCAUGGAAACCCUUGGAGGUUAUCUGCAAAGGCAACUGUGAAUACAAAAACAAAAGAACAUAAUCUAGAAUAUCUUGGCUCUCUUGAUUAGGUCCAUAAAAUCUAGUACAACAGUCUUCAUAAAUUGUAUAUGACUUCAGCUCUUAGAAGUCAAUUUGUGAUUGCAGCUGAUUCACUCUCUCUUAAAAUAUGGAGGAAAUCCAGCCAACUAAUCUCAUUACUAAUAGGCCUACCUAAGUAUCUCCAUCUUCUGGGACAAACUUUGACACUCUAAUGAGUUGGCCAUCACGAUGCAUUGUUCCUCCUCUUCUGUCAUUACCAAGUAACAUAUUGAUGAUUAAUUCCUGAUUCUUCCCCAGAUGAUGCCAUAUGUCUCACUCUGAGCUGGCUUGUCACAAACAAACAGAUACAUUAUGUCAGGGGUGGAUGCUUCACUCACUUAGUGAUUGAAGACACACAAAAUGAAACACUUUUUUCUUAAGGAAGAAAAGGCCAUUUAUGGAUAAAAAUGAGUUUUCUGAUUUUUAAGAAGAGUGGAGAAGAUACCCAAGAGGAGGAAAAAGACCAGAGACUCAGAUUUUAAAGGAUUCGGUGUGGCAGCUGUUCCCAAAAGAACUAUUUUUUCUCUUCUAAUAUAUUGGGUUAUCAUGUAGGAUUUAAAAUCAUUAUAAAUAAUAUAGGUACGCACGAAGAUGUUUGAGCUUUGGAUAUAUCCUUUCCUCUUUUUCUUUCUACCCUUCUUUCUCAUAGGAAAAGAUUGAUUUGACUGGAAAACUUGUUCACUUUAUUUUUACGGUCAAUGUGAUUCUUAUUAUCUAUAUUCUUGUUCUGGUAAAUAGGUUGUAUCUUGGCGUACGGCCCUUGGUGCUUGCUUUGAUUUUAUCUGCAUCCAAAUGUUAUAAUCUCAAACUCUAACA